rnacentral:lncRNA from 1 species
AUGGUGUCUCACGUUGUCUCACGCGACUUCCUAGAUUCCAGAGGCUUCUUUUCUGUGGGCGUGGCCAAGGCAGCGGGGGUUUAUGACAAAGUUGAGCGACCUCAUGUCACUCAAACCAGCUGUAUUAAGGAAGGUGCAAGCUUUUGGGAUUUCUGUUUGGAUUUAGUUUAGGUUCAAAAGAGCACGCACAGAUCCUGAGUGUUGUCAAGCACCCGUGACUGGGAAACGGAGGCGUCCGAUCCGUAUUGGAGUCAAUUCGCCACUUAAUUGAACACAGCCUCGAAGGGAAGGGCCAUAUUUGUGGGCCUGUCUAACAAUUAAGAGUGACCACAUGGAAUGGGGGAUGAAAGGGUUAAAGAAGAACAAAUAUUGAACACAGCUUUUCUAUGAACAAACUGCAGGCAGCUGCUGCUUUGCAAGGGGAACUUCUUGGCUGCCAUUUCUGGAUGUCAAGGCUGCAGAUACACUGGUCAGGACCCUGGGUAGAGAGAGAUGCGUCAGAAUGCGGCUCCUUUCAGAAAGGCUUCUCCGGAGGUUGGUGAGGUCAGCUGACUACUAGAAGACAGAUCUAUUUGAAGAUUUUUGUGGUGGUCUUUACUACUCCAGAGAUUUACAGCUGAUGAAAAAUGGAGAAGUACAUGACCCUACCCUGCUGUUGGACAUGCUACCCAAGGAUCAUGACUGACAACUUGUCAACAUCACUAUUGCUUAUUUAAUAAAUGUGCAGUACUACUUCAAUAAACCUGGAAUCAUAAAAUUUUAGAGAACAAACCUUAAAUUACAU